ACAGGGGAGAGUUACCCGUUGCUGUGGGAGCAAUGAGGAGUAAUGGAGGAAAGGAGAGGAACCAAGACCAGACCAAAUCCCUGGUGGCUGGUGUGGCCAGGGAUGUAGUGGAGGCUGGCCCUGGAGAGAAGAGGAACAGAAACUGAUUUUAAUCUCAAGGGGCUGAAGCUGGAGCUCCACAUGUGACCCCCAGAAGCACGGGACCCCAUCCGGGACGCCGCUGUGCAUGCAGCUGUCACAUCUCCCUGGACCCCCCUCUGCUGGCAGUUUCUCAGAUUUUCCUUGUUUUCGAUGACUGGGAUAGUUUUGAAGAGUAAUGGUCAGGCAUGCUGUAGAAUUUCUCUCAGUUAGGGUUUUUCUGAUGAUCUGAUUGGGAUUAUGGAAUUUGGGGAAGAAGACCAUAGAAGUAAAGUGCUAUUUUUAUUA
rnacentral:antisense_RNA from 1 species